CGGCGCGGGGUGCCGGGAGCCAUGGGCUAUUGCAGCGGCCGGUGCACACUGGUGGCCGUGUGCGGCGCGCAGCUGCCUGCUGUGAUUGUUGAGUGAAUUCUGUCCUGCUGUGAUUCCAGCAACUUUCAUCACCUCUCUGAGGAGCAGUGAGUUCUGCAUUGCCUCUUCUGAACUUCUGUGAAACCUCUGUGCAUCUUUUUUAUCAUCAGCUCUGAGUCAAGCACAUCCACUUCAGGAUGAUCAUCUACUCCCAUCUGAGAGGCCCCACACCCCUUCUCAGCAGAAAACAUGCAGUGUACAUGCUGCAACUGGAUACAUCAGGACGGGUGCCUUUAAUCAGCCUCCCAUUGGCCACCUCAGCAAUGGGUUAACACAACAGCACAGCUUCACUGUGAGUUUGAGAAGCCAGGUGGUACCAGGUGUCAGAAUGGUUGUGAGGAGAACUCUUCAGUGGAAUUACAGCCUCUUGUUCAGCCCAGAAUUUAAGAAGAGGUGGAAAGAUGGAGAUAAUAACAACAAAAAAUUAAGGAGACAGGUCUGA
rnacentral:lncRNA from 1 species